GGAAAGUUUUAUUCUGGCUUGAUUUAUUUAUUAUGAAAUUGUUAUACAUGUAAAUUUUUGUGUAUUGUUUACUCUUGAAGGGUUGAUAUAGUUUUGCAGUAUAGAAUAUUAUGAAUUUAAGUGAUUUUGAUUUAGUGAUUUUCUUAAAUAUUGAUUAAAUAUGUGCCAGCAAUCGCGGUUAUACAUUUGAUGUUAAUAAAUAUUAUUAGUUGGUAGUUAAUAUUUUGAUUGGAAGUUAAAGGAGGUAUUGGGGGGUAAAAUGUUCAAUUUUUGAUUAACUUUAAUUCGAAUAUAUUGAAGCUAUGAAAUCUUUAUUUUAAAACUAGGAUUAGAUACCCUAUUAUUUUUGAUUUAAAAUUUUUGGACUUGAGUAGUAAUAGUUAUGUUCUUGAAACUUAAAGAAUUUGGCGGUAUUUUAGUCUUUUUAGAGGAAUCUGUUCCUUAAUUCGAUAGUCCGCGUUGGACCUUACUUAAUUUUUUAAUUUGUAUAUCGCCGUUUAAUUGGGAUCUUUUUAGAGAUAAUUAUUUUAUAAUUUAUUAGAUAUUUUUUAGGUCAAGGUGCAGUUUAUAAUUGAGUGGAAAUGGAUUACAUUAUUUUGAAGUAUACGAAUUAUUUAAUUGAAUUUUUUUAUGAAGGUGGAUUUAAAAGUAAUUUUAUUAAGAAUGUUAAUGUGAUUAUGGCUCUGGAAUAUGUACAUAUCGCCCGUCAUUCUCAUUAUAUUUUAAGUGAGACAAGUCGUAACAUAGUAGGUGUACCGGAAGGUGUACCUAGAAUGAU
rnacentral:ncRNA from 1 species